UCUCCAUUGUAAUUUUCACGUUGCUUCACAGUGUAACCAGGAUUGAUGUGGCUUGGAGGUUAGGUGUAUGGGUAUCAUGUCGGGUAUCAGAAGGCAGCAGGUGCUUACAGAGAAGAAUGAUUCCUGGCAUUGAGAAUUUUAUUAAAGCCAUGGAAUUGAAAACAUGCGGUGGCGUCAGGAGCGGCAGGGAAGUUUGCUGCAGCGCCGACAUGGAAACGAGACUUCAGGCAAGAGCCAGAGACAAGCACGAGAAAGCGCUGAAGGAGACUCUGCAGCGUCUACAACAAUUAUUAGCUACGAGGGACACGAGGUUUCAAAAUUUCUUCAAGGAGCUUUUGGCCACCAGCAAGAAGGGCUUUCACGAGAUGUUCAAAAAGACAUACGGCAUACUCUACGAGCAGAACUCUGAAGUCUUCACGGAUCUCUUCAUAGAGCUUGAGAAUUAUUAUGCCAAGGGCACGGUCGAUCUGGACGAAGUCAUGGAAAACUUCUUCAAUACCCUGUACCAGAAAAUGUUCACUGUGCUGAACAGUCAGUACCAAUUUGACAGACAGUAUCUUGAGUGCGUGAGCAAUCACAUGAAGGAGAUGGCACCGUUUGGCGACGUGCCCCACAAAUUGGGGGUUCAGGUGAAAAGAUGCUUCGUGGCUACCAGGGCGUUCAGUCAGGCCCUGUCGAUUGCUGCUGACGUCCUGAAGAAUAUGCAGACGUUGGAAUCGUCGCCAGAGUGCGCUGCUGCUCUCACCAGGAUGACAGUUUGUCCUUCCUGCAGUGGGAUCCCAGGAAACGUUUUAGCCUGUGGGGACAUGUGCGCCAACGUGAUGAAAGGUUGCCUGGCCCAGCACGCGGCCCUUGACUCGGAAUGGAAUCAAUUUAUUAAAGCCUUUGACAAGAUUGCUGAUCGGCUCCUUGGACCCUUCAAUAUUGAGAUGCUGGUCAGACCCAUAAAUCUCAAGAUAUCCGAGGCCAUUAUGAACUUUCAAGAGAACAGUCAGGAAGUCUCCAAGGGUGUCUUCUCCGCCUGUGGACGUCCUGUUCUUGGUAGACGUCGCAGGAGGAACAAUCAGGAACUCGAGUUGGAGUCCCUGAAAUUCGAUCAGGAACCCUCGGCAGAGGACAAGACACCGACGGCUGUGAUGCUUGACAAACUCGUCAAGGAAAUAAGGCAGAAGGUCCGGGACUCUAGACAGUUCUGGGUCUACCUUCCUUAUCAACUGUGUAACAAUGGUCUGGUAGUACCACCCAGUAAUACCAAGGAAUGCUGGAACGGUACUCACGUGGAUAAAUACAUAUAUCCAGUAUCCUCGGACGGGGAAUCCCAGAAUCUUAAUCCGGAAGUACGUGCCUCCACGUUCAGACCGACGAUAGUCAGGGAACAAAUCUUUGCCCUGGCGACGAUAACGAAUCGUUUAAGAUCGGCUUACAGUGGUCAAGACGUUGACUGGAUAGACACAGAGGAAACGUGGUACGGUUCCGGAAGUGGUUCGGGUGACGAUGAAGAUGACGACAGGAUAACCGACGACGAGGAUGGCUUCGCCGAGAAGGGUUCGGGAUACGAACCUCAACCUGUACCCGAGAAGCCUUAUGUACCGCCAGAAGAGAUAGAACCCCCAAAGGUGAACACGGAACACAAAGUAACCAGCAACACGACCAGGACAACCGACAGCGGUGCAUCAAGACAGAAAAUGUCUCUGUCCAGGGCACUCACGACUUAUCUCUUCCCAAUAGUAGUGAUGUGGUUCGGCGGUUGUUUCACGGAAUGGCUGUGAUCGACGACGACGUCCUCGUCGUCGGAUGUCUCAUGGAAGAAUAUGUAAAUAUUUUCUGAUAUUCCUCUACCGAUCUGAUCGACGAGUGCGCAUCAUCGUACGCGCAUAGAUGGCGCCAUCAACGGCAACGCAUGAAGAAUGCCGGAUAUACGUAAUUAAGAAAGAGUGUGCGCGAAGGAAGACUUAAACAAACAAAAAAAAAGAAAGAAGAAAAAUAUCGGAGUACGCGAGAAGCACGGACUGCAUAUAUUUAUUGGGUUUCUCACGUACUCCUUAUGUAUUUGAUGAAACGCCAUUGGCCAAACGCAAGGAGGUUAAUUUAAUGUGGAGGUACGAAUGGGAGGAGAAAAAGAAGAAAAGAAAGGAAAGAAUGAAGAAAAUUAAAUACGCGCGGAAUACAAUAUAAACUCAUAUCCGGGUAGUAUCUUGUGAUAUGCAACAAAGCUAUGGUAUAUACCUGUGUUGCUAUCAUAACCUUUCAAAAGACGCGUCUAACUUGACAACAGUAUACAUAGUACCAUACUAUAUAUUCUAUACGCGUUAGGUAUAUUGUUCCCUGUCGCUUUAAUCUCAUCUGUUAAACGGAAGUUGACAUAUAUAUUUAUAUAUUUUCCAUUCCUUCUUUUUCUUCUUUCUCGGAGUUUUACACCGAGUGUACAUACGGAGCACAGGGUACCGUUGACAGUUCGCAUGCCGUGAUAUAUACUGUUUACGGCCUGUCAUAGCACCUCUUGUAUCCGGUAUUCAAAUUCAGCAACUAGGGAGUCAAAUAUUCCAUCCUUCUGUACCGGUACCCUUUGCUAAGACGCGCUCCCCCUGCCUCCUCUCUUACCCUCCGCCCCCCUAGCUAUUAGCUAUUAAGUUUUUCAAUAAAACGCGGAAGUACGUUCCUGGGAGUACGGAAUAUUGUUCUCUUUGAUUAGUAUAUCCGGUCUUGCGAUGAUUGUAUCAUUCUCUCUUGUCUUUGAUCUCUUGAUACGUUGACAAUCAUUAUUUUGUAUCUUACGAUCACGGUGGACAUGAAAAUUAUACGAGGGAUGCAUUAAAGGCGUUGCUUCCAGGGGUGUACUUUUUUUUUUCUUUGUCGUGUCAAAUAGGCGGCAUUUUUUUUUUUUAGAGUCGCGACGAUUACAUUUAAACGGGCUCUUGUGAUAAAAGCAAUUUAAAAUGAAACAAAGUGGGAAUAAUUGUGCCGCGAUGCUGACGGCGUUUUCUCUCUUUUUUUUUCUUCUUUUCCUUUUCUUCAACGCGAUUACACUUCGUAGGCGCGAUACACGAGACAAGUACACAGGAUAGUUUACAAGAUAUUGAAAGAUGCGAAUGGUUUUACUUUUAAGAAAUUCGAUAAUUACACAGACAUUUACACGGACAUAAACAAAUGGAGGCACGCGGCAUGAUAUAUGCUGUGUCUCAAUAAAUCCGGAGAAACACAAAGGCAGCGACACGAGCCGCGAGGAGAAUAGACUUUUUACAAAUCUAGUGAAAUAUUAAAAAAAAAAAAGAAAGAAUAUUAAUAACUAAUUAUUUGUAAUUAUUAUAUAUUAAUUAUUAUUAUAUAUAUGAAAUUAAUAUAAAUUUAAUAACAAGUUCGGGAUGUUUGUCGGGGAUCUUAGCUGUCUUGGCUAAAAGAUUUUUGUAUGUUCUCUUGCAGUCGUGAUACUGUAACUGGAUGUGAAUUUUUCUUAUAAAAAAAUGAAAUAAUUUGAAAAAAUUCCGUGGCGCGGUUGAUGAAAUUUAAAAAGACGAAAGCGUACAAUCUUUUGCGUUUUCGGAACGCGUGCGAAUUCGUUCUGAGAGUUGGUCUGGAAUUUCAUCGUCGCCCGAUUAACGGUGCUCUUUUCGUUUCGCUCGCGUCGAGUGAAAAAAUAUAAGAGAAAUAAAUGCAAACGUAAGUAAAUGAAAAUAAAUAAAAAUAGUGAUACCGUGAAUAGAGAGAAUCGCGAGUUAUUUCUACAGGGAACAGGGUUUCGAGACGCGAACGAGAAUAGCCCAAAAAAUAUUUAAAAAAUGAUAAAUAAACUCUUCGUGCUCGCACGAUCUCGACUUUUGGGGUGUGUGAAUAUUUUCGAAAAAAAAAGAAUUAAAUAAUGUGCGAAUGAAUAAAAUGGCCGUCGGGCAAAAUACGAUUCAGCGAACUCCGCUUUGUCGACGUUGUGCGUUGAGCGCGAAGAAUGUUUAAAUUGUAGCUCGUAAGUGAAAAAUUUGUAACUUUUGAAUAAGUUGACGCUCAUUGCGCAAAUGAGGAGAAUAAGCAACAAACGAUAACAAAAGCACGCAUAAGAAACAAAAAGAUUUAUUCGUAACGUAUUAUUGUUAGGUGUCCCUUCCAAUAUGGCGCAGCGGAUACGUCCUGGUGUUCUAUAUAUGGCGGGUGUAGACGUCAUAAACGCCAAUUAUCUCAGUAACAAUAAUGACGUCCCGGGAGAUGAGGACGAUCAUCUUCCUUAUUUUCUUGCUCGUCCUUCUGUGUAUUCACUUAUCGUCCUCGUCGGGACAGCGAGGAGGUUACGGCGUCGUUCUCAAAGUGCCCCAGUAAAGACGAAGACCACGAAGAGGUUUUUCCUGAACAAUCGCCACCUGAGGGACAUGCUGUGACGAUUAUUAACGAGGUCGCUGCCAUUAAGGAUAUCACACUGCAAAUGAAGAUCGUCCUGUGCUGCUUAUUGUGGACUAGCAUCGAUGAGGAAUGCUGAAGAUACGUUGGAAGACUUUUGAAUUCUUCUGCCAUUACCAGGAUUGAAGCUCCCACAAGGAUCAACGUAGUCAAGAGUAAAGAUAUCAACAGUAUUGUGCAGCUGUAAAGACUCUCAUCAUUGUAACGGAGUGUCCAUGCAUUUAUAUUGGCUGAUCUCAUCCUUUUAUUACUGGCUGAUUCCAGAGCAUCCGAAGCCUUUGCCAAUUUCUCACUAGCUGCACUGCAAGGAGUUUUUGAAUUUUUGCUUGUACCAUUUUCCUCCUCCAGCCCUUUAUAAUCUUACAUUCUCAAAUGGAAUUUCUGGUGUCCAAUCAACCCCUAUAUCGUCCUCCAAAGAACUUGGAUUACUAUUUGCCGAUAAGGGAUUAUUCAAUUUAAAACUCUUCUUACUCCUAUUGCCUGAAUCAUCCUCGCUCCAAAUUUUUGGACGAGACGAAUAUCGUCUCCUUGAUCUGAGAGGCUCUGUCUGCUUUAUCAAGAAAACUGAAUCAUCAUCUACCUGAUAGAAGUAACUUUUCCUGACGAUUAUUUUCACUCUGCGUACGCUGUCGAGUUUCCAUGGAUCGAUGAGUCUCUAAAAAGGCCUGCCUUUGACCACGAUCCGUUAAGUACUUUGUGUACAUCCCUGCUAGAUUAACAGCGACGUAGAGGAGCACAUUGGUCGACAACAUCCUAGCGACACAUGCUAGUUCCUGGAGGUUGAAUUUGCCAAGAGAGUUGCUAUCGCCAUUGCUGUAUGUGUAAGGGCUGUGCCAAAUCCUGCCAGCACGCACCAUCUUAAUGGUAAUGGUAACAUGGCAUAAGGGGCAUACACAACGAAUAAUAUGUACCACAUUAGUCGUUGCUGACUAGAAAAAUUCAGACCUGCUCCUAUAAAUCCUGCAAGAGUUAGAUUAUUAAGUGACACUUUAUUUGCUUCUUUAAUACUCUACCAUUUUUUAUGAAUCAAUAAAUAACGUUCAAUGUUAUUCGCCGAAGAAUUUCAGUCUGGGUAUCUGGCUACUUUAGCAGUGAACAUACAGAGAGACUGAGCUUGAGAAAACAUUAGAAACAUCCUCAAGGGAGUUUUCUAUGUUUUAUGUAUUAUUCCUGUAUUUUUAGUAAUUGCUAUUUUCCUAUCUGGGAGUAACAGGUGGCCUCCAUUGGUGUAACGCGCUUCACUGGAUAUCGUCUGAAUUUAUCGAUUAGAACUGUCAAUGGUUUCGGUUCACUGAAUAAAAUAAAAUUAAUACUCAGGCCUUUCAACGAUAUUUCCAACGAUUCUAUAAGUGGACCGAAUACACAGUUCUGACGGAUACAUUACCUUGUGAGUUUAUUAAUAACCAGGUAAAGAUAGAAGCCCAGUAGAGAUAAUUGUUUGAGAAACAUCGCCAGCAACCCAGAACACAUAUUAUUAUAUUUGCUGCCAUACAGCACACUGUCCAGGAUAAAGACUCGAUGAGACCGUC